AGAGUUUGAUCCUGGCUCAGGAUGAACGCUAGCUACAGGCUUAACACAUGCAAGUCGAGGGGCAGCAUGGUCUUAGCUUGCUAAGGCCGAUGGCGACCGGCGCACGGGUGAGUAACACGUAUCCAACCUGCCGUCUACUCUUGGACAGCCUUCUGAAAGGAAGAUUAAUACAAGAUGGCAUCAUGAGUCCGCAUGUUCACAUGAUUAAAGGUAUUCCGGUAGACGAUGGGGAUGCGUUCCAUUAGAUAGUAGGCGGGGUAACGGCCCACCUAGUCUUCGAUGGAUAGGGGUUCUGAGAGGAAGGUCCCCCACAUUGGAACUGAGACACGGUCCAAACUCCUACGGGAGGCAGCAGUGAGGAAUAUUGGUCAAUGGGCGAGAGCCUGAACCAGCCAAGUAGCGUGAAGGAUGACUGCCCUAUGGGUUGUAAACUUCUUUUAUAAAGGAAUAAAGUCGGGUAUGGAUACCCGUUUGCAUGUACUUUAUGAAUAAGGAUCGGCUAACUCCGUGCCAGCAGCCGCGGUAAUACGGAGGAUCCGAGCGUUAUCCGGAUUUAUUGGGUUUAAAGGGAGCGUAGAUGGAUGUUUAAGUCAGUUGUGAAAGUUUGCGGCUCAACCGUAAAAUUGCAGUUGAUACUGGAUAUCUUGAGUGCAGUUGAGGCAGGCGGAAUUCGUGGUGUAGCGGUGAAAUGCUUAGAUAUCACGAAGAACUCCGAUUGCGAAGGCAGCCUGCUAAGCUGCAACUGACAUUGAGGCUCGAAAGUGUGGGUAUCAAACAGGAUUAGAUACCCUGGUAGUCCACACGGUAAACGAUGAAUACUCGCUGUUUGCGAUAUACAGCAAGCGGCCAAGCGAAAGCGUUAAGUAUUCCACCUGGGGAGUACGCCGGCAACGGUGAAACUCAAAGGAAUUGACGGGGGCCCGCACAAGCGGAGGAACAUGUGGUUUAAUUCGAUGAUACGCGAGGAACCUUACCCGGGCUUAAAUUGCAGAUGAAUUACGGUGAAAGCCGUAAGCCGCAAGGCAUCUGUGAAGGUGCUGCAUGGUUGUCGUCAGCUCGUGCCGUGAGGUGUCGGCUUAAGUGCCAUAACGAGCGCAACCCUUGUUGUCAGUUACUAACAGGUUCCGCUGAGGACUCUGACAAGACUGCCAUCGUAAGAUGUGAGGAAGGUGGGGAUGACGUCAAAUCAGCACGGCCCUUACGUCCGGGGCUACACACGUGUUACAAUGGGGGGUACAGAGGGCCGCUACCACGCGAGUGGAUGCCAAUCCCAAAAACCUCUCUCAGUUCGGACUGGAGUCUGCAACCCGACUCCACGAAGCUGGAUUCGCUAGUAAUCGCGCAUCAGCCACGGCGCGGUGAAUACGUUCCCGGGCCUUGUACACACCGCCCGUCAAGCCAUGGGAGCCGGGGGUACCUGAAGUGCGUAACCGCGAGGAGCGCCCUAGGGUAAAACUGGUGACUGGGGCUAAGUCGUAACAAGGUAGCCGUACCGGAAGGUGCGGCUG
rnacentral:rRNA from 1 species